rnacentral:lncRNA from 15 species
AACGCUAAUUGUCUAAAUAGUAUAAACAAAUGUAAAUAUUGGAAAUUUACUUAUUUGGCGGUGUUUAGUAAACGUGAACAAUCCUCGAGGAGCGGAAAAGUAAAAUCCCAAACAACAAGAAAAGUGGGAGUUUUCAGCUUCACAGAAAUUGUCUUUAUAGACGUAAGAAAGCAUUACGAAGUGCGUCAAAAACAGUGCGCUCUAACUCAUCUUCAUUCUUCUGCAUAUUUAAAAGCUGGAGACUGGGACAAAAAGCACAGACGGUUCAACCAGCAGGUGGAGUUAGAGCUGUUCUCUUGAUCUCUGGAGUGAACACAAUUUCAUAUAUUUGCUCCUUGGCUGCAUUUGAAGAUCAAUAUGGUGCACACUGAUAGAGGCUGAACAAAAAGGACUGUCAGCUAAAGUGUUACUCUGGAGCUGAAGAUCAUUUUCAUAAUGAAAGUCAUCACAGUGUGAGGAUGUAAGAUGAAUCAGAGGAUUAGUCAGGUGGAUAAAGGGUAAGCAACAG